rnacentral:tRNA from 1 species
UACCUCAGCUUUGAAGUCAAGGAUCAGCAGCAAUGUUGAUUGCUUGAUGGAGAUUUUCAGUUCCUAAACUUUGUCUAGGUCACACCCCAAAAGGGAUGAGACUCCUGGGCCAUUAGCUCAGGUGGUUAGAGCGCACCCCUGAUAAGGGUGAGGUCCCUGGUUCAAGUCCAGGAUGGCCCAUUCGGUGUUGGGGGUUUAGCUCAGUUGGUAGAGCGCCUGCUUUGCAAGCAGGAUGUCAGGAGUUCGAGUCUCCUAACCUCCACUGACCGAACUUGAUUCCCAUCUCCAAUUUGUUUGGAGUUGAGCUCGAUUGGAGUGUGAUUUAGAUGUGUCCGCUGGAUGAUCCCAGCUUCCUGUCAUUCCAAGUUUUAGGUUGAUGCCUUGAAUUUGGUUGAUAAGAUGCUGGGCUCGGAUCAAAUGAUCAAGCAAUUGAUGAUUUGAUUUGAAGUUCUAGCAGAACCUUGACAACUGCAUAGGUGAGUCUGGAAAAAACAAAGCAUCUUACAGAUGCAUUGUUUUGAAUCUGAUCUUCUGAAAGGGAGA